AUUGAACGCUGGCGGCAGGCCUAACACAUGCAAGUCGAGCGGAGCGGCGGACGGGCGAGUAAUGCCUAGGUAUCUGACCGGUCGUGGGGGCUAACGUCCGGAAACGGGCGCUAAUCCAGUAUACUACUUGAUGAGCCUAGGUCGGAUUAGCGAGUUGGUGGGGUAAAGGCCUACCAAGGCGACGAACCGUAACUGGUCUGAGAGGAUGAUCAGCCAAACUGGAACUGAGACACGGUCCAGACGCCUACGGGAGGCAGCAGUGGGGAAUAUUGGACAAUGGGCGAAAGCCUGAUGCAGCCAUGCCGCGUGUGUGAAGAAGGUCUUCGGAUUGUAAAGCACUUUAAGUUGGGAGGCGUUACCAACAGAAGAAGCACCGGCUAACUGCGUGCCAGCAGCCGCGGUAAUUC
rnacentral:rRNA from 1 species